rnacentral:rRNA from 1 species
AUACGGAGGAUGCGAGAGUUAUCCGGAUUUAUUGGGUUUAAAGGGUGCGUAGGCGGAUGAUUAAGCGUGAGGUGAAAUGCCACUGCUCAACAGUGGAACUGCCUCGCGAACUGGUUGUCUUGAAUGCUCCUGCCGUGGGCGGAUGGUGUGGUGUAGCGGUGAAAUGCAUAGAGAUCACACAGAACACCGAUUGCGAAGGCAUCUCACGAAGGGGUGAUUGACGCUGAGGCACGAAAGCGUGGGGAUCAAACAGGAUUAGAUACCCUGGUAGUCCACGCAGUAAACGAUGAUAACUAACCGCUGGGUCGUAGUGAUUCAGUGGCCAAGCGAAAGCGAUAAGUUAUCCACCUGGGGAGUACGACCGCAAGGUUGAAACUCAAAUGAAUUGACGGGG